rnacentral:tRNA from 1 species
UGCUUGAUAGUUAAAGGUAUAACGUGAUAUUGAAGAUAUUAAAGUGGACAUUAUUCCUUAAGCAA